GACGAACGCUGGCGGCGUGCCUAAUACAUGCAAGUCGAGCGAACAGAGAAGGAGCUUGCUCCUUCGACGUUAGCGGCGGACGGGUGAGUAACACGUGGGCAACCUACCCUAUAGUUUGGGAUAACUCCGGGAAACCGGGGCUAAUACCGAAUAAUUUGUUUCACCUCAUGGUGAAACACUGAAAGACGGUUUCGGCUGUCGCUAUAGGAUGGGCCCGCGGCGCAUUAGCUAGUUGGUGAGGUAACGGCUCACCAAGGCGACGAUGCGUAGCCGACCUGAGAGGGUGAUCGGCCACACUGGGACUGAGACACGGCCCAGACUCCUACGGGAGGCAGCAGUAGGGAAUCUUCCACAAUGGGCGAAAGCCUGAUGGAGCAACGCCGCGUGAGUGAAGAAGGAUUUCGGUUCGUAAAACUCUGUUGUAAGGAAGAACAAGUNCAGUAGUAACUGCUGUACCUUGACGUACCUUAUAGAAAGCACGCUAC
rnacentral:rRNA from 1 species